GAUGAACGCUAGCGGGAGGCCUAACACAUGCAAGCCGAGCGGUAUUGUUUCUUCGGAAAUGAGAGAGCGGCGUACGGGUGCGUAACACGUGUGCAACCUGCCUUUAUCUGGGGGAUAGCCUUUCGAAAGGAAGAUUAAUACUCCAUAAUAUAUUGAACGGCAUCGUUUAAUAUUGAAAGCUCCGGCGGAUAGAGAUGGGCACGCGCAAGAUUAGCUAGUUGGUGAGGUAACGGCUCACCAAGGCGAUGAUCUUUGGGGGGCCUGAGAGGGUGAUCCCCCACACUGGUACUGAGACACGGACCAGACUCCUACGGGAGGCAGCAGUGAGGAAUAUUGGUCAAUGGGUGCAAGCCUGAGCCAGCCAUCCCGCGUGAAGGACGACUGCCCUAUGGGUUGUAAACUUCUUUUGUAUAGGGAUAAACCUACCCUCGUGGGGGUAGCUGAAGGUACUAUACGAAUAAGCACCGGCUAACUCCGUGCCAGCCGCCGCAGUAA
rnacentral:rRNA from 1 species